GACGGGGCAGGGGCAGGAAGUCGGGGGGCUGGGCAGAGCCGGGGACGGGGGGGUGGCGGGCAGUGCCUGGUGCUCCUGCUCGGCUCCGGCUGCCACCGCCCCUGAGUCAGCCCUGCCGCUGCCCCGCCCUGCCCCAGCCGUCCGUCCGGACACAGGGAAGGAGCCAACCAUCCAGCUGCAGCUCCACCCUCCCAGUGCUGCCAGAUGUGCCUCCACGUUGUGCUGCACCUGCAACCCACUCUGGAGAUCCUUCCCUGCCUCCUGCACUGCUGACCACCAGCUCCACGGGAUCCCCAACCUGUCCCUGCAGGUCCUCCAACGGCUUGUGCUGUGGACUGCUGGGCUCCCCGCUGCGCUCAGCAUGCCCUUUUCUGGUGCAGCCAGACCCUCCCAGGAAUCAGUCUGGAGCUUGAGGCCAUCCUGUAGGGUAAGGUGAUCCAGCCAAGGUGCUGCCAGUGCCAGGGCUGCUCUCCCAGCUAACGCACGU
rnacentral:lncRNA from 1 species